rnacentral:rRNA from 1 species
UAGGGAAUCUUCCACAAUGGACGCAAGUCUGAUGGAGCAACGCCGCGUAAGUGAAGAAGGUUUUCGGACCGUAAAGCUCUGUUGUUGGUGAAGAAGGAUAGAGGUAGUAACUGGCCUUUAUUUGACGGUAAUCAACCAGAAAGUCACGGCUAACUACGUGCCAGCAGCCGCGGUAAUACGUAGGUGGCAAGCGUUGUCCGGAUUUAUUGGGCGUAAAGCGAGCGCAGGCGGAAGAAUAAGUCUGAUGUGAAAGCCCUCGGCUUAACCGAGGAAUUGCAUCGGAAACUGUUUUCUUGAGUGCAGAAGAGGAGAGUAGAACUCCAUGUGUAGCGGUGGAAUGCGUAGAUAUAUGGAAGAAUACCAGUGGCGAAGGCGGCUCUCUGGUCUGCAACUGACGCUGAGGCUCGAAAGCAUGGGUAGCGAACAGGAUUAGAUACCCUGGUAGUCCAUGCCGUAAACGAUGAGUGCUAAGUGUUGGGAGGCUUCCGCCUCUCAGUGCUGCAGCUAACGCAUUAAGCACUCCGCCUGGGGGAGUACGACCGCAAGGUUGAAAC